rnacentral:rRNA from 1 species
GCGGUACUCUGACCGUGCAAAGGUAGCAUAAUCAUUUGCCUUAUAAUUGAAGGCUAGUAUGAAUGGUUUGACGAGAAUUAAGCUGUCUCUUUCCAAUUAAAUAUAACUUUAUUAGCAGGUGAAGAAGCCUGUAUUUUAUUGAAAGACAAGAAGACCCUAUCGAGCUUUAAGAAAAUUAACAGAUUUACUACAUAUUCAUAUAAGUGUAAAACUGCUAAAAACUUUGGUUGGGGCGACUGAGGAACAAAUAAAGCUUCCUUUAUAACCAUAUACUUUCAAGUAUUGAUCCAAUAAAUUUGAUUAAAGGAAUUAGUUACCGUAGGGAUAACAGCAUAAUCUUCUUUGAGAGCUCUCAUCGAAAAGAGGGUUUGUGACCUCGAUGUUGGACCAGAAUACCCAGAAGAUGCAGCCGUCUUCAAUGGUUGGUCUGUUCGACCAUUAAAAUUCU